rnacentral:rRNA from 1 species
CCUACGGGAGGCAGCAGUAAGGAAUAUUGGUCAAUGGACGAAAGUCUGAACCAGCCAUGCCGCGUGAAGGAUUAAGGCCCUCUGGGUUGUAAACUUCUUUUAUCUGGGACGAAAAAAGGGUAUUCUUACUCACUUGACGGUACCAGAGGAAUAAGCACCGGCUAACUCCGUGCCAGCAGCCGCGGUAAUACGGAGGGUGCAAGCGUUAUCCGGAUUUACUGGGUUUAAAGGGUGCGUAGGUGGGCUUGUAAGUCAGUGGUGAAAUCUCCGGGCUUAACCCGGAAACUGCCAUUGAUACUAUAGGUCUUGAAUUAUCUGGAGGUAAGCGGAAUAUGUCAUGUAGCGGUGAAAUGCUUAGAUAUGACAUAGAACAUCAAUUGCGAAGGCAGCUUACUACGGAUACAUUGACACUGAGGCACGAAAGCGUGGGGAUCAAACAGGAUUAGAUACCCUGGUAGUCCACGCCCUAAACGAUGGAUACUCGACAUCAGCGACACACUGUUGGUGUCUGAGCGAAAGCAUUAAGUAUCCCACCUGGAAGUACGAUCGCAAGAUUGAAACUCAAAGGAAUUGACGG